CCUACGGGAGGCAGCAGUAGGGAAUAUUGCUCAAUGGGGGAAACCCUGAAGCAGCAACGCCGCGUGGAGGAUGAAGGUUUUCGGAUUGUAAACUCCUUUUGUUAGAGAAGAUAAUGACGGUAUCUAACGAAUAAGCACCGGCUAACUCCGUGCCAGCAGCGGUGGCAAUACGGAGGAUGCAAGCGUUAUACGGAAUCACUGGGCGUAAAGCGAGCGUAGGCGGGAUAGCAAGUCAGAUGUGAAAUCCUACGGCUUAACCGUAAAACUGCAUUUGAAACUGUUAUUCUUGAGUAUGGUAGAGGUAGGCGGAAUUCGUGGUGUAGAGGUGAAAUGCGUAGAUAUCAAGAAGAAUACUGAUUGCGAAGGCAGCCUGCUGGAAUGUAACUGACGCUGAUGCGCGAAAGUGUGGGUAGCAAACAGGAUUAGAUACCCGGGUAGUC
rnacentral:rRNA from 1 species